UGUUGCGAAGAAUAAUCUUUAUGUCUUUAUGUAAAUCUUUUUUUUUUCAAAACGGAUAAUAAAAUUGAAAAUAACCAUGGAAAUAAGUCAAAUAACCAUUGAAAUUGAAAUACAUUUACGAAUAGUUUGACAGAGAUUUACAGAAUAUAAAUAUGUUGUGCAUAAAUCGCGUGUCUGAGAUUGAUCAAACUGGCCCUGAUCAGUGAAAGUCACACACGAGCCUGACGCUCUGACAUGAACAAACUGAGACCUACUCUCAAUGGUUUAAGUUUGGAUGGCCACAACAACUUUAGGAUUUCCUACAUUGUCUUCUUGGAUUCUUAAACAUUGUAAUAGAAGAACAGUUUUAAAAGUAAAGUAGAACGUCCUGAUAAUGUCAACAUCAACAGAAGAAUGCUCUAUAAAAAUGGAUUCAACAUACAUUAAAGUAAAAAGAAUGGAAACAUUGCUAUCUAAAGUUACCCAGUUAUAUUAAAAAUACAUCAAAUAACCUGUAAGAAUAGCAGACAGCCAAAACCCUACAGGACAUAAAAAAAAGUUAACAUUAGAACAAGCUAUAAACGUGGAAGAAACAUGUCAGGAUUGCAAUUUUAAACAUGCAAUGGCUUAAACAUUGCAACAUGAUCAAGUUUAGCACAAGUUUUUGUUGGGUGAAUCAAUCAAAGCUAAGAUUGUCAAAAAUCCCAGUUUUUUAUUAAGGUUCUCCGCAUCCCACAGUGGUUAACUUCUAAUGUUCUCUCAUGUAGACCACAUACUUUAUUUACUAACAAAACUCAGGCAUUCCAUACCGUGCAAAGCCAAUGAAAUGAAAAAUACUGAUUGAAGACUCCACUGAAUGUAGGACCAAUAAAUGAACUGUAUAAAGAAGAAAUUGUAAAUAUUCAACAUGCAGAUUACACUAUUCAUCACAGUUA